UUUCCUUCUUGCUCCACCUAUUUUUGCUGUUGAACAAAAUCAGAGUAUGAUCAGAUAAAACUCCUGCUAGAGUUUCCCCACAUCUGUAUUGUCUUAUCUUUGGCACUGAUGGAGUACAAAGCACAGAUUAUGGCAUUGCAAGCUUCCUGCACAUAUUACUCCAUCGGUAUGUCUCAACCUUGAGCUGGAAAGACCAUCUCUAGAGGUCAUUCCUCCACGACCUAUGCCCUGCAGUGGAGUGGAGUUCCCUCGAGGAUGAAUUUGGCCUAUUGUUUGUCAAUAAGCAUCGAAUAUGAUAACCACUAUCUAAGGAGAAAAUGUAACUUCACCAACAAAAGAAAAGGAAAGAAG